rnacentral:lncRNA from 1 species
CUGACUCAAAGGGGAGCCCUUACUGACAUCCCAGGGCUCUGGGAGGCUGGACUGCAACCUGCCUAGUGUCAUACCCGUGCUUCCUUAUUGCCUUAAGUAUCUUUCCAAUCACCCACAUCACCAGAGGUCACCCGAGACUACUUGAUCUUUGCAACAGAAAGUGUAACUCCUGCAGCACCAAAGUGGUGCAGAGGAGAGUGAGGAAGUGUGGCUGGAAGGGUGGACGCAGCAGGGGCUUUACCAGGAGGCGAUGCCAAAGCAGAGUUCUGAACUACAAUGAGGGGUUCGCAAGGAAGACAGAGGGGUUUGCAAGGCAGGAGCUGCAACGAGGAGUUUGCAAAGAAGACAGAGGAAGUUGGGGGAGAAGUGGAUCCAGCCCCAGUCAAGCCUUCAGAUGGCUGUAGCCCUGGAUGAUAUCUUGACUACAACCUCAUGAGACACCCUGGACCAGAAACUACCCUGCUAAGAUGACUCACAGACACUGAGUAAAAUAAACAUUUAUUGUUUUAAGCCACUAAGUUUUGGUAUAAUUCAUCACACAACAAUGAAUCACUAAUGCAAUAAAUAUUUUCC